ensembl:lncRNA
CUCGACGCCGGCAUCGCUUCCCCGAGGCCAACAGGUCUCCCGAGUCUCUCCCGGGGCCGGAGCGCCGCCGGCGCCACUCUCCCGCCCGGGCGGCGGGACGCCCUAGGAGGCCGGGUCUGUAGCAGCAGCCAAACCACCUGUGAUCGGCCCGGCCCGGCCCCGGCGCUGGUUCCAGAGGCCCGCGAGGACCAUGUCCCGCUCCUCGAAAGACCAGGGUCCCUACAGUCACCCAACGGCCGCCUCGGAACCCUGCGGUCGGCCAAGAGUUGCUUUUUCUUACCCGUUUGGAAGCCAAACAAUCCCAAAUUCCUAGCAAGUGGCAUCGAGGCGAUUUUCCAAAAUAAAAUUCUCCUAAAAUAAUCCGAAUGUUCUCUAUUUUGAUCGUGUUGCCUUGAAAGACAAACUCAGAUUCACUUGGUUAGUUAGUACUUUGGGAGCUGACGGUCGAGGAAUUUAAAAAAUAUAUCAUGUAAUUUAUUUUUUUAAGUAACGGUCUGACUCGCAUAAAUAUUUUAAACCCCUCGUUUGGUUUUGUUAGUUUUCAAAUAGAAAUAUUAUCUUUUGAAACGGGAAAUAAUGUUUCUCAAGUUUAAAAUCUGGCCAACUCUUUUUUUUUUUUUUUUUUUUUUUGGUAAAUACUCUGUACUUCUUUAAAAUUUCCAUGCUGGCUAGACAAUUGAAAUUAUACAAAAGGAUCUUUAAACUCUUCCAGUUUCAUAAAGAGGGGAAGUGCUAGGUAUUUGUAUGAAUGCCUAAACAAUAUCGAAUCUUCAAUCAAAAAUGGUUACAUCUAGAGUAAAUAAAUGAUCGUUUUAAGAAGAUAAUAAAUAAAAAGUGACGCCGCGCUUAGCGUCUCAGAGCAACUUGAAAACAGCUCCACUUUCAGAAAGUUAAAUUUGUCCUUUUUACAAUCAACUGCAACUUUUGCCUUCCCUUUGAAAGGACAACAAAAAGAUUUCACGCACAACUUGACCUGAACAAAAGAACCUCACGCCAGUUUUUCUUUUGUGGGGUGACAACUAGAAGAGAGGAAAACUUUAGUUCAAGAAUACUUGAAUCAUACUUUUGGAAACCCACUGUAAAAAGAAAAUGCGACCGCAGAUCUACACCUUUUAAAACCGAAGCUAGAGGGUUUUGAGGGAGAAAGAUCACGGGGCAGGAACUGAAAGCCAGUGAGAAAAUGCAUCAUCGUUCUCAGGCUAACAAGUGCAACCUUCUUUUAGAGAAAAAGCUACGUUCUUGUGAGAGCCACGCUCUUGGGUCCCAGCCCUACCCCCAGCCCAAAAAAAAGAAGCCCUCUGAUCUUUGCGGGUUCGAAUCCUCAAAUUCCCCUUCACUUUUUUGAAUUUCAUUUUCCAAGUCAAAUUAUUUCUCCCAUCAGCUUCCGCAGUGGUAGCAGCCGCGAAAACAGACCAGAGAAGAUUCUGUGGCGGGCCCCGAAUUCGGGGGAAAGGAAGUGCCCUAAUAGGGGCGACAGUCCGGGCACCCAGCCCCGGCGACAGUUACCUCACGUCCGGAACUGAGGCCCGGGCACCCACUCCCGCCCAAACUCCCGCCGCGAGGGUGCGGGGGAAGCCAGAGAGGGCAGGGAAGGUGAAGGACAGAAAUGUAUGUGUGUGUGUGCCCUUGAGGCCACCAAACUCCAACAGUGCCGAUCUAUGAGAGUGGACGGGGGCGACCAAGGUUGGCGGACCUAGUCCCCGGCUUUCUUUAAAAAUUCAACUGGCAUCUGAAAAGUGUUAGUGAAAUUCUGAGCUGAGAGGCCGAAGCGAGUUAGUGGGGCCGGGCUUCGGUUUUAGUUUUCUUCUCCCUGUGCUCAACCAGCCUGAGCUUUCAGGCAGAAGAAAAUUGAAGCUAAUGGAGAUAUCAAACAGAGCCACAAUCCCGAAGGCUUCUUUUCCGCCAUCAGCACCCACCGUCCGUCGGCAAGUGUAAUCACAGAGACUUGCGGCGUCUUCAUCACCACGGGCUCCGAGAAGAGGGGAGAAAAUUCUCCGUUGUUAAAAGGAACUCUCUAUUACCACUAUUAUUAUUUAUGUAUAGCAACAUAAGAAUGUCCCCCUCCUCUUAAAAUUCCCCCACAAUAUUGAAACGGCAUUUGUUGUCUGAUUCAUACAAUGCUUGAGGCCUUUCUGGAAAACCAUUACCAUUCAAUGGCUAGAAAAUUGCUCUCCUUCCUUUAAAAAAAACAAAAACAAAAAAAGGGCAGGCGCAGCAGCAGCUACAACAGACAACAAAAACUUUCUCCUGCAUAAUCCUCGCUCACGGAAUGACAAAGAAAUGAUAUUGACUUACCCCUGAACGGAUGAUGUGUUUGAUAAGGAGGGGACUUUUUUGAAGAUUUCUGUUCGGGAGCUGCACAGACAGCUGCAAUUCCUGGGCGACGCUGAUUGCCAGAAACGCUAUGGAUUGGCAUGGGGUCUGCAGCUCACAGAUCCUGAUCAAUACCCCUACACUCACACGCCAGAUGGUUUGGGGAAGGACAAAAAUAAAAUAGUCCAAAUCAACCCACCAUUAUGUCUUUUUGUAUUGUUCUGAUAAACCUAGUUGUAGCACAAAUGUGUUGAGCCCAAAACAAAACCUUCCUCAGGAUUCUGAACAUUUGGGUGGAAAUAAGCAGCCCCCUCUUCCCUGAAUUUGGGCUGUGGUUACUGUUGUUUAGUAAAAACAAAGCUGUGGGGCCCCUUAUCCAGAUUGGGUUUACUUGUGGUCUGUUUAUUUUUUUCGUGAAUAAUUU